GCCUUGUUGGCGCAGUUGGCAGCGUGUCAGUCUCAUAAUCUGAAGGUCGUGAGUUUCAAAACCUCACACAAGGCA